GGGGGAAUAUUGCACAAUGGGCGCAAGCCUGAUGCAGCAACGCCGCGUGCGGGAUGACGGCCUUCGGGUUGUAAACCGCUUUCAGUAGGGACGAAGCGCAAGUGACGGUACCUACAGAAGAAGGACCGGCUAACUACGUG
rnacentral:rRNA from 1 species